rnacentral:rRNA from 1 species
CUUGAUGUGUAGGAUAGGUGGGAGGCUUUGAAGUGUGGACGCCAGUCUGCAUGGAGCCGACCUUGAAAUACCACCCUUUAAUGUUUGAUGUUCUAACGUUGACCCGUAAUCCGGGUUGCGGACAGUGUCUGGUGGGUAGUUUGACUGGGGCGGUCUCCUCCUAAAGAGUAACGGAGGAGCACGAAGGUUGGCUAAUCCUGGUCGGACAUCAGGAGGUUAGUGCAAUGGCAUAAGCCAGCUUGACUGCGAGCGUGACGGCGCGAGCAGGUGCGAAAGCAGGUCAUAGUGAUCCGGUGGUUCUGAAUGGAAGGGCCAUCGCUCAACGGAUAAAAGGUACUCCGGGGAUAACAGGCUGAUACCGCCCAAGAGUUCAUAUCGACGGCGGUGUUUGGCACCUCGAUGUCGGCUCAUCACAUCCUGGGGCUGAAGUAGGUCCCAAGGGUAUGGCUGUUCGCCAUUUAAAGUGGUACGCGAGCUGGGUUUAGAACGUCGUGAGACAGUUCGGUCCCUAUCUGCCGUGGGCGCUGGAGAACUGAGGGGGGCUGCUCCUAGUACGAGAGGACCGGAGUGGACGCAUCACUGGUGUUCGGGUUGUCAUGCCAAUGGCACUGCCCGGUAGCUAAAUGCGGAAGAGAUAAGUGCUGAAAGCAUCUAAGCACGAAACUUGCC